CUGCUGGAGAAAGAAGAAAGGGCACAGAAAGGCAUGAGCCCUGCAGAUGGAGUUUCCUCCCAUGGAUUUUGCAUGUUGUAUAAAAUUCAACAUUUUACAGGAUGCCAAAGUUGUAAGGGUCCCAAAUGGAUUAAGUAGAGUGCUAGUCUCCUGUCACCCCCUACAGAAAACAAAUCUCUGCAAGGAGGAGAGAUGCAAGUCUGCCUGUGGGUCAAAUGGUGCUUUUCAUGGCAAAAAGACAAUUGGAUACCCAGAAGAAUGUCAGUCACCAGUGACCAUGGGGCCUGGAAGGGAAUCUGACCUUAGGAAUAAAAGAGAGAGAGACAUUUC